UGGAUGACAGUUUAUUCUCACAACCACCUGAGAGGCAGCUAUUAUCAUGCCCAUUUUCAAGAUGAAGAAAUCUGUGAAAUGGGCACAUGCUGUAUUUCCCCGCAAGGGACGAUGAGACCACCCAUGAAAGCUGCACAGCCCAGAGCAAGGGUCAGACAGACUGAUGCUCCCUUCCUCCUUGGGUUUGCCCCAAUAUUCUAAAUUUCAACAUGACCACACCCGGGGUCCAUGAUGCCUGUAAGUCACCCCUCCUUCUGUACAACAGGAAGGAGCUGUACUUGAUCACUGAGUUGCUACAAUAAAGUACCGAAGUGGCUUAAAACAACAGGAGUGUAUUGUCUCACAGUUCUGGAGACGAGCAGCCAGAAAUCAAGAUGCCGGCAGGGCCUGGCUCUCUCGGACAGCCCUAGGGGAGACUCCUUCCUCGCCCCUUCUAGCUCCUGGAGGUUGCUGGAAAUCCUGGCGCCCUCGGCAUCUGGCCGCGUCCAUCACUGUCUCCGCCUCCGUCUUCACGUGGCCUCCUCCCUCCGCUCUCGUCCGUGUCUGCACUUGGCGGCGUCCUCUCUGGGUCUGUCUUCCGAUGACGACACCAGCCACACUGGAUGUAGGGCCCACCCUGGUCCACUAUGACCUCAUCCUAACUAAGUGCAUCUGUUCCAAACAAGCGCCAAUGCUGGGGCUCCAGGAAGGGCGUGGAUUUGCGGGGGGGACACUCUUCGACCCGGUAUACGAAUUGUAGUGGAGAAGGGGUCGGAUUCGGAGACCGGCAGGGCCAGGACUGGAUUCGCCUUCCUUCACCUGUUUGCCUUUGGACGUCCCUGAGUCCAGACCGUAGAUUCUCCAAGUCUUGCUUCUUUCUUACCCUGCAGAGUGAAGACAGCAACCCGACCUCCGAGGGACGUUGAGAGGAAAAGACCAAGCAAGACCUGACAGCAGAGCCUGGCACAAGGAGACCCAGCCUCUCGCCGUGGCCCCUCCCGGGCCAGCCCCGUCCUGCCCAGGUGGUUGUCCUCACGCUGGCCUGUCAUCUCCUGAUCCAGUGACCCUGUCAGAGCGCUGGCGGCGCUCUUGGCUGAGCCACGUCUCUGUUCCUCAGAGCCUGUCUUCUGAUCAGACAGGGGAGCCUCGGGAAGAUGGUCUCGAAGCUUCCCUCUGAGCUCUGGGGCCUCCUUACAAAAGCCCGAAGGAGACUGGGGUUCUCAAGAGCCAUGACUGGUCGGAGGGGCGUCCUAGGGAAGGGACUGAGGUUUCUAGGAGAAAGCUGCCUCUUCCAUCUGCCCCCCGUCACCAGGUCCCCCGGCCCCCCAGGCCUGGGAGGCAGCCGACUUCCCCAAACCAGCGAGCCUCUGCCGGUGAGGAGCUCCCCCAGAUGCGCGCCCCCAGUCCCCUGGACUUGCUGCUCUUCUGCUUGGCAGCCCCAGCCCCAGCCCCAGCGGCUGCCCCAUCAAGGAUGCCCUGUGUGAACCCGAACUGGGGGGCACUCACCUCAGUUUACCCAUCUGCAAAAUGAGACCAUCACAGCCA
ensembl:lncRNA